CUUCAAAGCGGGAGGCCAGAGACUCAAAGAUUGACGACUGUUUUAUCUACUUGUAUACUACAGUGAGGAGAAUUCCAAGAUGAGGACCUUUCUUAUUUGCAUCCUGGCAGUGACGAUUCUUGCAGCGCCCUCUAUGUCCAUGUUCAACUUGGAAUCUUCAACAAGUUUUGAGGCAGAGAAACGAGGAGUUGGUAAUCAGCGAUAUAGAGCUUGUGCUCAUCCAACCUACGGCAGGAAAGUUAAGUGUAGAUGCGACAUAACGAAGAGUGGACGUGAUCCUCGGUAUAGGAGAUGUUUCCGGAUCUCAAUAUCGGACCGGGUGUGAAGAUUGGAAAUUCACAUAAUAAACUAACAUUUUGUUUUUGUUGCUUGUGAAUUACGCAAUAUUCUGCCACAAAAGAGGAACCUCUAAUUAAGAUGUACUUCAGUUUUGUGGUGCACUCAUUAUCGAUUCCUCAGACUCGGUGUCUGAACUAUUGAUAUGUUUUGUAGAAAUGAAAUAGAAUGCAGCUUAUCUUUAAAUGCAAAUACUAUUCAGCUGAUAAUAAACCGCAGGGUUCAAUAAAUGAGAGGACUUUUACUAAUUUAAAAACAGGUGCAAUUUGUUAAGAAUAUAAUUAAGAAAGGAAGCAAUCCUUCGAUUUAAGACGAGUCUAAUCCAACCAGAUUUUCCAAGUUCACAACAAGAAAUAGAUUUUGGCCACGGCUUAUUUAGAUUCUAAACUACAGAUAACAAUACUUCCGCUUGCACCUAUUCUUUCAGUAGAAACAACCUUUCAUCCACCCAAAUUUACUCAAACAAAGAAAUAAAUUACGGACACCUGUCUAUUCUA